AGAUGCCUGCCACCACAGGGAAGCUUCCUGUUGCCUCAGCAGAACAUUCUCUGUUGCUAUUUCAGCUCCUUGAGGCAGCAUGAAGGACAAUGAGGCUCCAGCUGGUACAAGAGCAGAUCCUUAUGGACAGGUUAAUUCCUAUCUAAGAUGAACAUUCCCCACCCCACCCCCAAAUUCUCCAUCAUCACAGCAGUCUGGAAAGUCAGACCUGCCUGAAGGAACCACUGGCAAGGCAGGUGCUGCUGUGUCACCAGAACAGAGAGGAGCUGGCGCACAGCUCACCAGCAGUAGCAGCCAUCUGCCUUCCUCACAGUGGCCUGCCGCAGGGCCAGUUUCCAGACUCAGUGAAAUGACCAGGCAGGACUAUGCCCCAUCGGGAAGCAGUGUCACUGACUGCAAUGGAUACAGGCCCAGGCCCUGAGUGCACCACGAACAGCCUCCUUUGCUUUGAGGGAGAUAAAGAAAACCGAGUGGCAGAAACGCUGGCUCACCAAAGCACGGCUGUCAGGAGUAAGUGAAAACCCUUUGGACAGAAAACACAGGAGUUGUCAGACCUGCCUAUGCCACAGCUCCACUUGCCUUUGACCAUGCCUGAUAGAGGUGCCAGGUUCAGAAUGGUAGCUGUGUUAGUCUCCAAGGUGCCACAAGGACUACUCGUUUUUCCUAUGUGAUCCUUAGACAAGUCAAAAGUGAAGCAAGAGGCUAAAACUAUUCAGCAGAUUUGUAUCAAAUUAACCAAUAAUUUUCAGCUUGACUGAAACUGCAAGUAAACUGUUCAUCCAAAAAAAAAAAAUAUAUCACCCAGCUCCAGCUGGGCUGGCAGGCUGCUGGC